rnacentral:lncRNA from 1 species
AUGCCGACGUCUCCUGUUAAAACGAGGAUUCCAGUGACCAGCUUCGGCCAUCUGGUGACAGAAGUGAAGAUCCAAUAUGGAAGUUCUGUCAUUACAGCAGCAGGAGUUGGAACUCAUACAAUUGAGGACAAAAGUGAGAUAAUCAAUGCCAAAGUUUGCCCAGCACAAAGGAAGGAAAUGUUUGAGAAAAAAAAGCUGUAGAAUUAGUAAGACAAAAAG